GAUGAACGCUAGCGAUAGGCUUAACACAUGCAAGUCGAGGGGCAGCAUGGUCUUAGCUUGCUAAGGCUGAUGGCGACCGGCGCACGGGUGCGUAACGCGUAUGCAACUUGCCUCACAGAGGGGGAUAACCCGUCGAAAGACGGACUAAUACCGCGUACACUCCAUCUUGGGCAUCCAAGGUAGAGGAAAUGAAAUUCGCUGUGAGAUAGGCAUGCGUCCCAUUAGCUAGUUGGUGAGGUAACGGCUCACCAAGGCGACGAUGGGUAGGGGAACUGAGAGGUUGAACCCCCACACUGGUACUGAGACACGGACCAGACUCCUACGGGAGGCAGCAGUGAGGAAUAUUGGUCAAUGGGCGAGAGCCUGAACCAGCCAAGUCGCGUGAAGGAUGACUGUCUUAUGGAUUGUAAACUUCUUUUAUACGGGAAUAACAAGAGUCACGUGUGACUCCCUGCAUGUACCGUAUGAAUAAGCAUCGGCUAACUCCGUG
rnacentral:rRNA from 1 species